UACGUAGGCAGCAAGCGUUGUUUCGGAGUUACUGGGCGUAAAGGGUGCGUAGGCGGCUUCUUAAGUUUGGUGUGAAAUCUCCCGGCUCAACUGGGAGGGUGCGCCGAAUACUGAGGGGCUAGAGUGUGGGAGAGGAAAGUGGAAUUCCAGGUGUAGCGGUGAAAUGCGUAGAUAUCUGGAGGAACACCGGUGGUGUAAACGGCUUUCUGGACCAUUACUGACGCUGAUGCACGAAAGCGUGGGUAGCAAACAGG
rnacentral:rRNA from 1 species